UCCUGGCUAUAGUGUGUUCAGAAGCUUUAAAGCCACUUUCGUAGUUUAUUUUACAUCAGCUAGGGUUUUACAGUUUAGAUGGAGUUUAGCUUUAUUGUGUCAGUUAACUGCAUGAUCUGUGAAACCUAUAUUUAUAUUUUCUUCAGUGUAUUCUUGUCAUGUGUGUGUCCUAAAUAAACCAAAAGAAAACUUCCCAAAUCUAAAGUAUUCAUUCUCAAAGAUGACCAAGAGGACUCAGUUAGAUACUCUCACUGUUUUCAUUUGUGGUUGGCUUUGUCAUAUUUACUUAUGAUUGAUGAUAAAUCUCUUUCGCUUUUUAGAGCCUCCUGAGAAGUCAUCUGCCUUCAAGCCUGCCACUGAAAUACAAAACUCUUUUCCAAAUGAAGCCUUCGAAUGCAAGAAGGAACAACCUUUGACAGCAGAUCAGAUGAUCCCAUCAGAAUCCAAACAAAAGGAUGAAGAAGAAAAUUCUUGGGAUUUAGAGAGUGACCGUGAGACUGUUUCACAGAAGGAUGUGUGUUUACCCAAGGCUACACCUCAAAAAGAAUUCCAUACGAUAAGUGGAAAAUUAGAAGAUCAGAUGAUCCCAUCAGAAUCCAAACAAAAGGACGAAGAAGAAAAUUCUUGGGAUUUAGAGAGUGACCGUGAGACUGUUUCACAGAAGGAUGUGUGUUUACCCAAGGCUACACCUCAAAAAGAACUCCAUACGAUAAGUGGAAAAUUAGAAGAUCAGAUGAUCCCAUCAGAAUCCAAACAAAAGGACGAGGAAGAAAAUUCUUGGGAUUUAGAGAGUGACCGUGAGACUGCUUCACAGAAGGAUGUGUGUUUACCCAAGGCUACGCCUCAAAAAGAAUUCCACACGAUAAGUGGAAAAUUAGAAGAUCAGAUGAUCCCAUCAGAAUCCAAAAAAAAGGCCGAAGAAGAAAAUUCUUGGGAUUUAGAGGUACUGUGUAUUACUAUUGUUUUUUUGAUAAUUAGUAUUGGCCAUGAUAGAAACAUAAAAUGGAGCGGUCU
ensembl:lincRNA